rnacentral:lncRNA from 10 species
CUGAGACUCCGCGGCCAUAUACACCUUACGACGUGUGUGUGUGUGGCGGGAGAUGGGAGGGGAGGAAUCCUGUAGAACCCAGAUCCCAUCAUUCCAGCAACUGCCAGAGCGUUCGAGAAUGUCAUGUCUGUACCUGUCUUCUCUCAUCUUUUGUGCCAACUGUUUUAUCAAACUUCUACCCCACUUUAGGUCUUCCAGAGUACAACACAAAUAUACUGCCCAGGUUCUAAAACAUGUAUAAGAGUUAACAAAAUCAGCUGAGGUUGAGCAGAAAUUGUAUAGGAAAAAAUAGGAAAAACACAGAGACCAAUCUCAGCUGCAAGAAGGUUCAGCUAGACACUGCAAGCAAAAGUAUAACUCCUGAAGAUACAGGAAAAGACCUUAACUGAGGGAUGGUUUCCUGCUGUGUCCUCGGAACCCCAGGGCCUGGUUCAUAGAGACAAACUGCAGGGAGCAAGUGCAGACACCGGGAGAC